UACGGGGGGGGCAAGCGUUGUUCGGAAUUACUGGGCGUAAAGGGCGCGUAGGCGGGAUGGCAAGUCGGUCGUGAAAUCCUUCGGCUCAACCGAAGAACGUCGAUCGAUACUGCUGUUCUUGAGGGUUGCAGAGGAGACUGGAAUUCCCGGUGUAGCGGUGAAAUGUGUAGAGAUCGGGAGGAACACCGGUGGCGAAGGCGGGUCUCUGGGCAAUUCCUGACGCUGAGGCGCGAGAGCGUGGGGAGCAAACAGG
rnacentral:rRNA from 1 species